rnacentral:rRNA from 1 species
GUCUUUUUGAUAAAUAAUUUAAAGUCUAAUCUGCCCCCUGAAAUUAUUUUAAAGGGCUGCGGUAUUUUAACCGUACAAAGGUAGCAUAAUAAUUAGGUUUUUGAUUGAAAUCUAGAAUGAAUGAUUGGACGAGAUACCAGCUGUUUUAAAAUAAUUAAUUAAAACUUAAUUUUUUAGUCAAAAAGCUAAAAUUUAAUUAAAAGACGAGAAGACCCUAUAAAUCUUUAUAAUAAAUUUAUUUUAACAAAUUAUUUUAUUUAAAUUAAUAUUUUAAUAUUAAAUUAUUUUAUUGGGGUGAUAUAAAAAUUUAAUUAACUUUUUUAAUUUAAUUUCUUUAAUUAAAGAUUUAAAAAUUUAUGAUCUAUUAAUAAUAAUUCAAAGAAUAAGAUACUUUAGGGAUAACAGCGUAAUUUUAAUUUUGAGUUCUUAUCAAAAUUAAAGAUUGC